UAUGUGAUCGUCUCUUGCAUAUCAAUAAGCGGAGGAAAAGAAACUAACAAGGAUUCCCCUAGUAACGGCGAGUGAAGCGGGAAGAGCUCAAAUUUGAAAUCUUAAAGGGUUUCCCUUUACGAAUUGUAGUUUAAAGAAGUGUUUUCUGUUGAGGUUUUGGUAAAAGUUCUUUGGAAUAGGACAUCAUAGAGGGUGAGAAUCCCGUAUUUGACCUUUACUUUCAACUUUGUGAUACACUUUCAAAGAGUCGGAUUGUUUGGGAAUGCAGUCCAAAAUGGGUGGUAAAUUUCAUCUAAAGCUAAAUAUUGGCGAGAGACCGAUAGCGAACAAGUACCGUGAGGGAAAGAUGAAAAGAACUUUGAAAAGAGAGUUAAACAGUACGUGAAAUUGUCAAAAGGGAAGCGUUUGACACCAGUGUUGUUUUUCUGAAAAUCAAUUAAAGAACUGUUUAUGCUAAGCUGUUUAGACUUUAUCAGCUAUCUGUUUAGUUUUGAGCUUUUCUUUAAUGCACUUUUCAGUUAACAAGUCAACAUCAAUUUCUUUUGCUGUAAAAAAGCUUGAGGAAGGUGGCUUGAGAUUCGUCUUAAGUGUUUAUAGCCUCUUGCCUAUGCAGUCGGAGAGAUUGAGGUCUGCAGCGUAGAUCCUUCGGGGCUAAAUGCAUUUGUGCUAAGUUAUAGCAUUUUAUAGACAACUUGUUGACUAUGAUUUGUCUUGUAGCUUACUCGCUUAUGUUAUUUUACCUACGCUUAGGAUGUUGACACACGCGCGUGCUCG
rnacentral:rRNA from 1 species